AGAGAACUUUCCAGAGAUGGAUUGGUGCCUUCGGGAACUCUGAGACAGGUGCUGCAUGGCUGUCGUCAGCUCGUGUUGUGAAAUGUUGGGUUAACGUCCGCAACGAGCGCAACCCCUAUCCUUUGUUGCCAGCGAUUCGGUCGGGAACUCAAAGGAGACUGCCGGUGAUAAACCGGAGGAAGGUGGGGAUGACGUCAAGUCAUCAUGGCCCUUACGAGUAGGGCUACACACGUGCUACAAUGGCGUAUACAAAGAGAAGCAACCUCGCGAGAGCAAGCGGACCUCAUAAAGUACGUCGUAGUCCGGAUUGGAGUCUGCAACUCGACUCCAUGAAGUCGGAAUCGCUAGUAAUCGUAGAUCAGAAUGCUACGGUGAAUACGUUCCCGGGCCUUGUACACACCGCCCGUCACACCAUGGGAGUGGGUUGCAAAAGAAGUAGAUAGCUUAACCUUCGGGAGGGCGUUUACCACUUUGUGAUUCAUGACUGGGGUGAAGUCGUAACAAGGUAGGCGUAGCGAG
rnacentral:rRNA from 1 species